GGGGGUGUAACGGUUUCGACGGGGGCGUGGAGGCAGGAAUAGCGGGCGGAUGCGCCUGGCAUCCAUAAAACGGGCAACCUUAUAAAUUAAAGAACAACACUAAUCCUGUUGCUGUCGCUGCUUAAGCAGUGACCGUUCCGCCCGGGAGUACCACGGCCCGGGAUGGAGCGUCGACGAGUGGUGAACGUGAGUACGCUAAGCUUUGCGCGUGCCACGCAUCAUGAAGCUACCGAGUCCCCGAGGGUGACGGCUCCCGCUCGGGCAAGGGAAUACAAACAACCGUCUGCGCCCGGAGAAGUUCCUGUUAAAGUGCUUUCGGACAGGGGUUCAACUCCCCUCACCUCCACCA
rnacentral:tmRNA from 1 species